rnacentral:rRNA from 1 species
GAUGAACGCUGGCGGCGUGCCUAAUACAUGCAAGUCGAGCGAAAUCACGCUGAGCUUUCCCCUCUAACGAUUGCGCGGGGCGGGUGAGUGAAACAUGUAUAGCAUCCGUCUCAUACUGGGGGAAUACCGUGGGAAAGGAUACAAUAACGCCGAAUACAUUCUACCGCGUAGAUCAGUUAUUUAAGACGGUUUUCUCGUCACACUAAGAUGGUGCCGUGCGGCAUUAGCUAGUUGGUAAGGUAACGGCUCACCAAGGCAACGAUGCGUAGCCGACCUGAGAGGGUGAUCAGCCACACUGGAACUGAGACACGGUCCAGACUCCUACGGGAGGCAGCAGUAGGGAAUCUUCCGCAAUGGGCGAAAGCCUGACGGAGCAACGCCGCGUGAGUGAAGAAGGUCUUCGGAUCGUAAAGCUCUGUUGUUAGGGAAGAACAGAUGUGUAUGUAACUAUCCACGUCGUGACGGUACCUAAUCAGAAAGCCACGGCUAACUACGUG